UACGGAGGGCGCAAGCGUUGUUCGGAAUUACUGGGCGUAAAGCGCGUGUAGGCGGCCAGGUAAGUCGGAUGUGAAAGCCCGGGGCCCAACCCCGGAACUGCACCCGAUACUGCCUGGCUGGAGUCCCGGAGAGGAUGGCGGAAUUUCAGGUGUAGAGGUGAAAUUCGUAGAUAUCGGAAGGAACACCAGUGGCGAAGGCGGCCAUCUGGACGGUGACUGACGCUGAGACGUGAAAGCGUGGGGAGCAAACAGG
rnacentral:rRNA from 1 species